CUACGGGGCGCUCCAGUGGGGAAUAUUGGACAAUGGGCGCAAGCCUGAUCCAGCAAUGCCGCGUGAGUGAAGACGGCCUUAGGGUUGUAAAACUCUUUCGCUAGGGAAGAUAAUGACUGUACCUAGUAAAGAAGUCCCGGCUAACUCCGUGCCAGCAGCCGCGGUAAUACGGAGGGGACCAGCGUUGUUCGGAAUUACUGGGCGUAAAGAGUUCGUAGGCGGACUGACAAGUUAGAGGUGAAAUCCCAGGGCUCAACCCUGGAACUGCCUUUAAAACUGUCAGUCUAGAGACCGGAAGAGGUUAGGGGAAUACCUAGUGUAGAGGUGAAAUUCGUAGAUAUUAGGUGGAACACCAGUGGCGAAGGCGCCUAACUGGUCCGGUACUGACGCUGAGGAACGAAAGCGUGGGGAGCAAACAGGAUUAGAUACCCCCGUAGUC
rnacentral:rRNA from 1 species